rnacentral:rRNA from 1 species
GGACGAACGCUGGCGGCGUGCCUAACACAUGCAAGUCGAGCGGGGAGACCCUUCGGGGUUUUCUAGCGGCGGACGGGUGAGUAACGCGUGAGCAACCUUUCCUUCACAGGGGGAUAACGCAGCGAAAGCUGUGCUAAUACCGCAUAAGACCACGAGGCCACAUGGCAUUGAGGUCAAAGGAGCAAUCCAGUGAAGGGUGGGCUCGCGUCUGAUUAGCUAGUUGGUGAGGUAACGGCCCACCAAGGCAACGAUCAGUAGCCGACCUGAGAGGGUGAUCGGCCACACUGGGACUGAGACACGGUCCAGACUCCUACGGGGGGCAGCAGUGGGGAAUUUUGCGCAAUGGGCGAAAGCCUGACGCAGCAACGCCGCGUGAGUGAUGAAGGCUUUCGGGUCGUAAAGCUCUGUCAAUGGGAAAGAAGUGUAUUGAGGCUAAUAUCCUCGAUACUUGACGGUACCCAUAAAGGAAGCACCGGCUAACUCCGUGCCAGCAGCCGCGGUAAUACGGGGGGUGCAAGCGUUGUUCGGAAUUAUUGGGCGUAAAGCGCGUGUAGGCGGUUUGUUAAGUCUGUUGUGAAAGCCCUGGGCUCAACCCAGGAAGUGCACUGGAUACUGGCAAACUUGAAUACGGGAGAGGGUAGUGGAAUUCCUGGUGUAGGAGUGAAAUCCGUAGAUAUCAGGAGGAACACCGGUGGCGAAGGCGGCUACCUGGACCGAUAUUGACGCUGAGACGCGAAAGCGUGGGUAGCAAACAGGAUUAGAUACCCUGGUAGUCCACGCCGUAAACGAUGAGUACUAGGUGUUGCGGGUAUUGACCCCUGCAGUGCCGCAGCUAACGC